GUCGACGACUCUGGUAUUGAUUGGUGCUUGCAUCAUGAUUUACAUUUGAGUGAGUGGCGAACUGGUGAGUAACACGUGGGAAACCUGCCCAGAAGCGGGGGAUAACACCUGGAAACAGAUGCUAAUACCGCAUAACAACUUGGACCGCAUGGUCCGAGCUUGAAAGAUGGCUUCGGCUAUCACUUUUGGAUGGUCCCGCGGCGUAUUAGCUAGAUGGUGGGGUAACGGCUCACCAUGGCAAUGAUACGUAGCCGACCUGAGAGGGUAAUCGGCCACAUUGGGACUGAGACACGGCCCAAACUCCUACGGGAGGCAGCAGUAGGGAAUCUUCCACAAUGGACGAAAGUCUGAUGGAGCAACGCCGCGUGAGUGAAGAAGGGUUUCGGCUCGUAAAACUCUGUUGUUAAAGAAGAACAUAUCUGAGAGUAACUGUUCAGGUAUUGACGGUAUUUAACCAGAAAGCCACGGCUAACUACGUGCCAGCAGCCGCGGUAAUACGUAGGUGGCAAGCGUUGUCCGGAUUUAUUGGGCGUAAAGCGAGCGCAGGCGGUUUUUUAAGUCUGAUGUGAAAGCCUUCGGC
rnacentral:rRNA from 1 species